rnacentral:rRNA from 1 species
AGUGAACGCUGGCGGUAGGCCUAACACAUGCAAGUCGAACGGCAGCACAGUAAGAGCUUGCUCUUACGGGUGGUGAGUGGCGGACGGGUGAGGAAUACAUCGGAAUCUACUUUUUUGUGGGGGAUAACGUAGGGAAACUUACGCUAAUACCGCAUACGACCUACGGGUGAAAGCAGGGGAUCUUCGGACCUUGCGCGAUUGAAUGAGCCGAUGUCGGAUUAGCUAGUUGGCGGGGUAAAGGCCCACCAAGGCGACGAUCCGUAGCUGGUCUGAGAGGAUGAUCAGCCACACUGGAACUGAGACACGGUCCAGACUCCUACGGGAGGCAGCAGUGGGGAAUAUUGGACAAUGGGCGCAAGCCUGAUCCAGCCAUACCGCGUGGGUGAAGAAGGCCUUCGGGUUGUAAAGCCCUUUUGUUGGGAAAGAAAAGCAGCAGGUUAAUACCCCGCUGUUCUGACGGUACCCAAAGAAUAAGCACCGGCUAACUUCGUG